CUCCCGUACAAACUACUCAAUUUCCAUAAGCAGAAUAACAAUAUUUGUCUUAUGCUGGUAAUCUCAAUUCCUCUCUAGACUUGAAGUGUUCUUCAGUUUCUCUUAUUUUUUCCAGGAACUUGCAGCCAUCUAUUGCAUAGAAAAAUUCAUAAAAACCAUCUCUUAGUUUAGUGUCAAACUGUGGAAACAUAGAUGAAGAAACUCAGAACAGACAAGUUUUACACAAAUGGCCAAGAAAAUUUUAUAUUGUCAAUGAUUAUAUUAUGAACGUUGCUACAUAUGACGACAAAUUCAUGUCAAUAUUAAAGAUCAACGUGUAUGGACACAAAGGGUGUAAAGAAAGAACCCACAUAUAAGGUUCCAUUUUAUCCCUUAUAGUUAAAGGCUGGUCGCAAUACACAUGCAACAUAAAUUAGUCGACAUAUAAAUCGUUUUCCUAACAUUAUAGGAUAAAUUGGCAUGAACUAGAGUAACAGUCGCACGUUGGUCGGCGGUCGCCAUACACAUUCAACGAAAAGUUAGUCAACAUAAGUAUAAAUCAUUUUUCUUAUGCUAUACCAAAAAAAUGACAUGAACUAGAGUAAACAAACCUUAGAAACAGGAUGCUGACCACCAGAAGAGGGGGGGAACUCGGAAAAACAAAAUCUUCCAGCUCAAUACAACACAUCCAAGACCCAAGAUAACAAAAUUAAUACUACUCAAAUCCAAAUUUCUUCAAUCAAUCCUUGUUUUUUUUUCAUGCCCAGUUCACUAAAUUUGAUUAAAAUCAACUCCCAGCUCAAAUUUUAAUACACAGGACAAAUUUGAGAAAGGGGAAGAUAAUUUCAUCUCCUUAAACCCAACAAAUUCAAGAUAAACCCCAUAUCACAAUCCUCAAUCUAAUUCAUUUUGCAGUACAAAUUUGAAAAAUGAAAAUGAUAACAACCAGUAAGAUGUGUAGUUAAAUUAAAUAAACAAAAUUGGAUCUCACCUUUUGUAUCCCAAUGCUAUUCGCUAUUGUAUACGAGUUUGUU
rnacentral:lncRNA from 1 species